rnacentral:rRNA from 1 species
ACGGGUGAGUAACACGUGGGAACAUACCCUUUGGUGCGGAACAACAGCUGGAAACGGCUGCUAAUACCGCAUGCGCCCUACGGGGGAAAGAUUUAUCGCCGAAGGAUUGGCCCGCGUCUGAUUAGCUAGUUGGUGAGGUAAUGGCUCACCAAGGCGACGAUCAGUAGCUGGUCUGAGAGGAUGAUCAGCCACACUGGGACUGAGACACGGCCCAGACUCCUACGGGAGGCAGCAGUGGGGAAUAUUGGACAAUGGGCGCAAGCCUGAUCCAGCCAUGCCGCGUGAGUGAUGAAGGCCCUAGGGUUGUAAAGCUCUUUCAGCGAGGAGGAUAAUGACGUUACUCGCAGAAGAAGCCCCGGCUAACUUC